rnacentral:rRNA from 1 species
GGCAUGGCGGCAUGCCUUACACAUGCAGUCGUACGACAGCACGGACUUCGGUCUGGUGGCGAGUGGCGAACGGGUGAGUAAUGUAUCGGAACGUACCUUUCAGUGGGGGAUAACGUAGCGAAAGUUACGCUAAUACCGCAUAUUCUGUGAGCAGGAAAGCAGGGGAUCGCAAGACCUUGCGCUGAUUGAGCGGCCGAUAUCAGAUUAGCUAGUUGGUGGGGUAAAGGCCUACCAAGGCUACGAUCUGUAGCGGGUCUGAGAGGAUGAUCCGCCACACUGGAACUGAGACACGGUCCAGACUCCUACGGGAGGCAGCAGUGGGGAAUUUUGGACAAUGGGGGCAACCCUGAUCCAGCCAUGCCGCGUGAGUGAAGAAGGCCUUCGGGUUGUAAAGCUCUUUCGGCCGGGAAGAAAUCGCAUAGGCUAAUACCCUGUGUGGAUGACGGUACCGGAAUAAGAAGCACCGGCUAACUACGUGCCAGCAGCCGCGGUAAUACGUAGGGUGCGAGCGUUAAUCGGAAUUACUGGGCGUAAAGCGUGCGCAGGCGGUUUCGUAAGACAGAGGUGAAAUCCCCGGGCUCAACCUGGGAACUGCCUUUGUGACUGCGAAGCUAGAGUACGGCAGAGGGGGGUGGAAUUCCACGUGUAGCAGUGAAAUGCGUAGAGAUGUGGAGGAACACCGAUGGCGAAGGCAGCCCCCUGGGCCGAUACUGACGCUCAUGCACGAAAGCGUGGGUAGCAAACAGGAUUAGAUACCCUGGUAGUCCACGCCCUAAACGAUGUCAACUAGGUGUUGGGUGGGUAAAACCAUUUAGUACCGUAGCUAACGCGUGAAGUUGACCGCCUGGGGAGUACGGCCGCAAGGUUAAAACUCAAAGGAAUUGACGGGGACCCGCACAAGCGGUGGAUGAUGUGGAUUAAUUCGAUGCAACGCGAAAAACCUUACCUACCCUUGACAUGUUCAGAAUCCCGGAGAGAUUUGGGAGUGCCCGAAAGGGAGCUGGAACACAGGUGCUGCAUGGCUGUCGUCAGCUCGUGUCGUGAGAUGUUGGGUUAAGUCCCGCAACGAGCGCAACCCUUGUCGUUAAUUGCCAUCAUUUGGUUGGGCACUUUAACGAGACUGCCGGUGACAAACCGGAGGAAGGUGGGGAUGACGUCAAGUCCUCAUGGCCCUUAUGGGUAGGGCUUCACACGUCAUACAAUGGUCGGUACAGAGGGUUGCCAAGCCGCGAGGUGGAGCCAAUCCCAGAAAGCCGAUCGUAGUCCGGAUUGCAGGCUGCAACUCGCCUGCAUGAAGUCGGAAUCGCUAGUAAUCGCGGAUCAGCAUGUCGCGGUGAAUACGUUCCCGGGUCUUGUACACACCGCCCGUCACACCAUGGGAGCGGGUUCCGCCAGAAGUAGGUAGCCUAACCGCAAGGGGGGCGCUACCACUACGGAUCGUG